AAUUUAGGAAAUGAAGAAGUAUAAUUUGUAUGUGGGCACUUAAAUUAUAUGGAGUUAGUAGUGCAACCGACCUAAUU
rnacentral:ncRNA from 1 species